rnacentral:rRNA from 1 species
AGUGAACGCUGGCGGUAGGCCUAACACAUGCAAGUCGAACGGCAGCACAGUAAGAGCUUGCUCUUACGGGUGGCGAGUGGCGGACGGGUGAGGAAUACAUCGGAAUCUACUUUUUCGUGGGGGAUAACGUAGGGAAACUUACGCUAAUACCGCAUACGACCUACGGGUGAAAGCAGGGGAUCUUCGGCCCUUGCCCGAUUGAUUGAGCCGAUGUCGGAUUAGCUAGUUGGCGGGGUAAAGGCCCACCAAGGCGACGAUCCGUAGCUGGUCUGAGAGGAUGAUCAGCCACACUGGAACUGAGACACGGUCCAGACUCCUACGGGAGGCAGCAGUGGGGAAUAUUGGACAAUGGGCGCAAGCCUGAUCCAGCCAUACCGCGUGGGUGAAGAAGGCCUUCGGGUUGUAAAGCCCUUUUGUUGGGAAAGAAAAGCAGCAGGUUAAUACCCCGCUGUUCUGACGGUACCCAAAGAAUAAGCACCGGCUAACUUCGUG